rnacentral:rRNA from 1 species
CCUACGGGAGGCAGCAGUCGAGAAUCAUUCACAAUGGGGGAAACCCUGAUGGUGCGACGCCGCGUGGGGGAAUGAAGGUCUUCGGAUUGUAAACCCCUGUCAUGUGGGAGCAAAUUAAAAAGAUAGUACCACAAGAGGAAGAGACGGCUAACUCUGUGCCAGCAGCCGCGGUAAUACAGAGGUCUCAAGCGUUGUUCGGAAUCACUGGGCGUAAAGCGUGCGUAGGCUGUUUCGUAAGUCGUGUGUGAAAGGCGCGGGCUCAACCCGCGGACGGCACAUGAUACUGGGAGACUAGAGUAAGGGAGGGGGAACCGGAAUUCUCGGUGUAGCAGUGAAAUGCGUAGAUAUCGAGAGGAACACUCGUGGCGAAGGCGGGUUCCUGGACAUUAACUGACGCUGAGGCACGAAGGCCAGGGGAGCGAAAGGGAUUAGAUACCCUUGUAGUC